ACCCCUGUCACACCCUGGCUGACCAAAUAUAUAACGAAAACACAAAACACUAAGACCAAGGCGUGACAGAUGCACCAUUUUUUUUCCCAAUUAUUAUUGUUUUAUUUUUAUUUAACAUUUAUUUAACUAGGCAAAUCAGUUAAGAACAAAUUCUUAUUUACAAUGACGGCCUACCCUGGCCAAACCCAAAAUUAUGAUCAUCACACGUAUGCAGCGCACAUUUCAAGCGAAGUUUAUCAAUUAAUAGGGGAGAUCAUUCGAUGAGUCUUUCCAGGAAGCUAAUUCUGAAGACUGCUGCUGUAUCAGUGGAUGUGACCAUAAUCUUGCCAGGCAACCACCAUAGCAGGAAUGCUGUGAAGAAAGACCCAACAUACUCAUUACAGGCUACACAGACAGGCUCAUGGAUCUCCUCUACAACGAGGUCACGCUUGAUCCAGUGCUGUUUGUGGGGAAGCUGUGCAAGCUGUCCAUCCCAGGACGCCUGUCUGCCCAGUGUGAGAGAAAUGACGAGGAGGCCAUAGCUGGAUUUGUCUCCGGCUUCAAUCUUGGGGGAUGAUUGAAGUCUGCUUGAUUGAAGCGGGGUAAAUGGGUCCCCCUCCUCUCCUGUUCCCCUCUCCAUCAAUCUCUAUAGUUGGUUGCAUUUCCUAAAGCCUUAGUUAUUCACUUUUAUGUGAUGUGAUAUUACAUUUUGCUACUUUGUAUUGUUUUUUUUUUCAACCAUUCAGACGGGAGAUGAGUGUUACAAAUUGUACGACUCAAUGGGGUCCUGCACACUGUAGGGUGGCCGGCCGGGUGCCUAUAUUAGGCUUAUGGCGCUAAUAAAAAGCACCAUUAUAUCUCACCUUUAUUACUCAUGAUGAGUGUUCAUGUUGAUCAAUAUUUUGCCUAUGCUUGCCUAUUUUAAACAUAUUGUCAUUCAUAAUGCUAAUGCAGAGGCACUAAUUAAUUGUCCAGUACACUUAUUGUAUGCUGUUUUCAUGUACAUUCCCUUAUGUCUAAGCUUCUAAGGUUACUCAGGCUUUACUCAUUAUUCUUAAGAAGUGUAUCAUUGAACUGUAUCCUGUAAUUAGUAACAAAACAAUAGAAAUGCAAUUGUGAAUUUCUGCUGUUUGUCUGAUAUCCAACAGUCUAUGAUCAGCUCUGUUGACAAUGAGUGCAUUUUGCACAGAAAAUGGGGUGAGGUGUACUAUUUAGGCUUGGAAUGACAUGUGGCCCAUUGUUUACCUGGUCGUCAAAGACAUGUGAUUAUUAAACAGGUUUGGAUCCUGGAGGCUGAUUGGUUGAUAUGUGAGAGUUGUGGGACAACAACUUCUGCAAAAAACAUUAUGUGUUAAUCUCAUAAUCCACUGUCCUGCAGCCCAGGCAGGAAAUUCAUAAACAUAAUCUACACAUUUACACAGAAGUUUUCUACUAUUUGGUUUGCAACAGUUAGACAGAUAGGUUUAUACAACCCCCAACUCUACAACCUGUGCAUUCUACAAAUGCGAUCUCUCCCA